rnacentral:lncRNA from 1 species
UUCAAAAAAAGCAUAUUUUGAUUAGAUAUGAACUAUAAAAUAACAUGUCUCUUAUUUUAUCACAUAUGACAAGUUGACUUUGUGUUGAGGAGACAGGGACAUAAGACAUUAGAGUCUAAACAAGCCCACCUGCUGGGACCUUAAUCAAAUAUGUGCAAGCUGUAAACUAGCUGAAGUCCAAUCUGAUUGGUUGAUUACCAGGUGCCAAUAAUUAGCCAGUAUAAAAGCUAUCAUUCACGUCAUCUCCAUGAUAGAGUGCUGUCCAUCUAAACCAGGCGUGCAGCUCAAUUAUGGCAGGUGAAGAUGGAUGGUGCUGCAGGUCACCUCAAGCUGUCGCAGUCAUUUUGCUCCUGUACUCUUUAGCCCCGAGUUUAACUUGUUUUAGCUUGCGAGGGCUGAGCAAAAAUGCUAAACAGGACAAGGUAGUUGAUGAGGCGGCAGUGAGGACAGGAACCGUUCUUUUCAAUGGGAAAGAGCUGAACUCUGGGUCAGGAUCUGCCUCUGCUGCUGCCCCACGUAACAAUGGUUUGCCGCAUGUUGAUUCCGAUCAAUCAGAAGAGAUGUUUGCACAGGCAUCACAGCUGAAGGAAGUCAUGGCCAAUGAAGCAGCAUGGAAGCGAUUGAACCCUACACUGCAUUGUGGACAAACCAAGAUGAAGUUUAAAGCCAUGGGACCUGGAGCGGUGGAUUUACAGCUAAAUAUUGGCAAUGAACGUCCCCUUCCUCUGAUCCAGUUGCCGGAAACCUGUGGCUACUUGAUGCAGCAGAAUGCGUUUGGUCUUGUUUUGGUUGUUCCUUAUGACGGCUGCAAUGUUAUACAAGAGAAUGGAGACUAUGUUGUCCCAAUGAGAUGGUUGGAUACCCCAGUGACAUUAAUGUGCCCCAUCUCGCAAAGUCCAGAUGCAACGACUCCAAAACCUCAGCAUGCCUGGAAACAUCCUUUACCUCACAGGCCCUUGAACUCUUAUCGUCCUAAACGACACGCAAUUCACCCCCUUUCCAUGUACGAUCCUAGCAGUCAAUACUAUGCCCAAUUGUAUUACUAUUACAUGUAUAUGAGUCAAGCCCUUGCCACUGCUCCUCCUGCAACUACUGCGCCUCCUGCAACUACGACUCCUCCUGCAACUACUGCUCCUCCUGACACAACCACAGAGAAGCAUCCUGCUUACCCUCCCUAUAUGUAUUACUCCUACUACCCUUACUACUCCUACAACUACCCUCACUACUCCUACAACUACCCUCCAGCAGAACAGUUACCAUCAAACAGCUCAGAAAUUUACUACUACCCAAUCAUCCAGCAUUUCUACGGAAGGCCUCAAUACCCAAAUAAUCCAAGCGAACCGAUGCAAACAACUCCGCAGCCUCCUGCUUCCACAACUAAGCCAGGUGACACGGUUAAACCAAGCUCUACGGCAAAUCCAACUUCUGCUUCUACGGCAAAGCCAACAAAAGCGUCUUCUCCCUCCACAACAACGACUAAAGCAUGUUCCCGCACUACACCAACCAGCAGCAGUGGCGUCUAUCCAGGCACAAUGAAACCAUUUGUUGAGUACUAUGCCCUCCCCUUCACUCCUUUUGUUUCAUACAAAUACAAUAAGGCUGCCAAACUCCGAGAUUACCAAAAGUAUAUGCCUCAAGAUGGCUACAAAUCUGGACUCCAGGCUCGCGAAUAUCCACAUCCGAGCAUCAACUGGCAAGAUGUGCCAUGGUUUCCCCACUUUGCAGGACAAGACAUUCCUCAAAUUGACUGGAAACAUUUCCAACAUAAACAAGUUUGAAGUCCUAAGGGUAAGGCUGACUUAAAUGUUUUAAUGUUUGUAUUUGUAUGAAUUUCAGUGAGUUUAAGUUUCUCAAACAAAAUGUCUAUCUUCCAGGGGCUGGUUUCCUGUAAUCCCGAGCCUUCAAUAAAGAUGUUUACUUGGAACUUUUUCUUAUUCAAGCUUUGAGUGUCAUGCAGGGGUUUCUCCUCUUGUGCUAAUCUUGUUGGCACAACCCUGGGGUUGGACAGUGGUAGGACAUGCAAUUCAACAUCAGGACUUUAAUCAAAAUCUCUCCUAGUUGAUGGGAAGUCUUGAAAGGUCUAGUAACAUCUGAUGGUGCCUAAAUUGUGGUUGAACUCCUUGGUAAUGGGCAAAAUACCCAAAUCUGAGCACUCAAUGGAUAAACUAAAGCAGAGGUUGCUAAAUACCUGAGCAAUGGGCUAAAAGUAAAAUGCGUUCAUUUUUGCAAGUUACAGGUGAACAAAUUACUUCUGCACAAUAACUUUGUAGUUUGCUAGUGGUUUUCCUUAAUCAAAAGACUUAACCUUUAUUGGAAUUCUUUUAAAUUAAAAAAACCUGCCAACCCCCCUUCAAAGUCUUUCCUGUCUCUAAUUUUAUUUUGUGGUAUUACUCUGCUCUGUUCCCUUGUGCAGAGUGCACACAACCCAUUCUGUCCGUUCCUAUAUAUUUCCACAUGGCAGUAUCUCCUCCGGUUACCCUGUGGUAAGACGCACACGAUAUCCUCACCACUGAAAUGAAUCCCCACGUGACAGAGGCAUGCAAUGCUGGUCUCUUUAAAAGCACGAACACUGUCUGUAUUUUUCAGUUUCUAGGGCUCUGAGUGUUCGUUGGCAAGAAUUGGAGCACUAAGCUCAGGACUAAACUAUUCUGCAGAGGCGCAAUAAAUCCUUUAAUCCAUCUGUUCAGCAUUGGGAACAGCAGUUGUCUUUUGCAGCGCUGUUGUCGUUUUGCCAUAAUUGCUGCUUUUGCACUUUUACUUCAAGCAUCUCAUGGUGGCAUGUCAACAAUGUUGGUGAGUGCAAUGUACAUGUGCUAUAUAUUUUACAUUUUGUGCUUAGUUGUUGAACUGCCAUGAUUUUUUGGUUCAGAAAAUUACGAGGAAUGAGCUUUGAUUUUUGUUUACAUGGAAUCAUUAAAACAUGAACAGAACAAGAACAGUGUCUGCAUAUGAAAUGUUUUAAACUUGAAAUAUUUUAACAUGGUUUCAAUUAGUUGAUUUUCUCAAUUACAGGAAAAUUAAAGACAUUGGGAUUAACGUGGAUCAGCAUUGUAAUGGUCGAUUUUUUGGAAGAUCUGCCCCCCACCUCUGAAUAUCCUCAGUGUAUCUUUGGCCGUAUUCCCAGCCAGAGCACUGAGCCCUUCCCCCAAACGUGACAUUUGCCCCACCCUCCCAAUACGUUUGUGUUCAUGGAGGACUAUGAUGUGGACAUGGAGGGAGAAGUAUUCGUGAGGAAGGCCACAGUGGGCCACUGGUGGGAGCACAGUGGAGAGGAUGACGACUGUGACAUACAACACCAGAGAGGAGGAAGAGGCUGCAUGGUAAACAGCCGCAGCUGGGCUGAGGAGCUCCAGGAUAUCUUUGCGCCACAGGCAGUAGACUGUUACAGUGGAGGGCGAACCAGACUCUCCAGUAUCUCUGUGAGUGAUUUCUCUUCUCCUGUUUGGGCCACAUAAGCACAGGAUUACUCCCACUUUAUUCAGUUAAUUUUGUUUUAACAAAUUUAACAAGAGGAAAACAAACAAGAUUAAGAGAGGGAUUUAGCUCAAGUCCAUGCUUCUCAGAAUGACGGACUUCUCAAAGUAUUACAUGGAGAUGAACUACCUCAAGUCAGGAUUUAAGGGAAAAAGCAAAAGCUGAUGAUAUACAAUAUAUAACAAUGUGUACAUAGUAUUGUUUGCGUUCCAAGCCUAUGCUGUCUGAAUUUUGAAUAUUCAGUAUCAGUAUAUGCAGUGCAUGAUUAUAAUGGCCUGACAGAAAUGUGUGGAAUGGAGAGCCUGAAGAUAUUUGCCCCCUGAUGCUGAUGAAAGAUGAUUCAAAAUGUUGUGUUCUUUAAUCAUCCCACUGCUGCACUGUGACACGUCACUGUGGGAACUAACUGUGAGUAUGUGUGCGUGUAGUGUGUAUUUGUGUUUCCGUACGCAUGUGCUUUCUUGUUUCUCUUACGGCUCAUCACACUUGAAUCCGUAGUGUGGAAUGGGGCUGGUGGAGAUUCGUUUGGGAGACAAAACAAAC